GGAGAUAAUACCUGAUAGAGGAUAAAUACUGGAAGGUUUUAUUCUUCAAAGCUUCGGCACCUGAGGAUGGGACUGCGUCGGAUUAGCUUGUUGUCGGGAUAAUUACCCGACAAGGCGAUAAUCCGUACGGGUUGUGAGAGCAAUAGCCCGGAGAUGGAUUCUGAGACAUGAAUCCAGGUCCUACGGGACGCAGCAGGCGCGAAACCUUCACAAUGCCUGAAAGGGUGAUGAGGGAACUCUGAGUGACUUCGCAAUGCGAAGUCUUUUGCCAAGUGCAAAAAGCUCGGUGAAUAAGUGGUGGGCAAGACAGUUGCCAGCCGCCGCGGUAAUAACUGCGCCACGAGUGGUGAUCUCGUUUAUUGGGCUUAAAGCGUUCGUAGCCGGUUUUAUAAGCAUCUGGUGAAAUCCGAUAGUAAACUAUUGGGCUGGCUAGGUGUACUGUAAGACUAGGGACCGGUAGGGGCCGGGAGUACUCCUAGGGUAGGGGUUAAAUCCUUUAAUCCUAGGGGGACUACCAGUGGCGAAGGCGCCCGGCUAGAACGGGUCCGACGGUGAGGGACGAAAGCUGGGGGAGCGAUCCGGAUUAGAUACCCGGGUAGUCCCAGCUGUAAACGAUGCCCGCUUGGUGUGGUGAAACUUUCGUGG
rnacentral:rRNA from 1 species